GACAGAGGGGGCAAGCGUUGCUCGGAAUUACUGGGCGUAAAGGGCGUGUAGGCGGUUUCGUCAGUCAGUCGUGAAAUGCGUCGGCUCAACCGAAGCAGUGCGGCUGAUACUGCGAGGCUAGAGGAUCGGAGAGGGAAGGGGAAUUCCUGGUGUAGCAGUGAAAUGCGUAGAUAUCAGGAAGAACACCAAUGGCGAAGGCGCCUUCCUGGCCGGUUUCUGACGCUGAGGCGCGAAAGCCAGGGGAGCAAACGGG
rnacentral:rRNA from 1 species